AUUUUCUACCGGAUAUGGAUGUGCUUUAAGGAAUUCCAGUGUUAAUUGUACUUUCUGGGGACUUUGAGUGAUUCACCACCCUUUGAACAAAUGUAUUUUGAGAUCCUCAAAGGAAUCCUAGAUUUGUCAAGAAGCCAUGUUUUAAUUGCUGCCCAUCAAAUAGUACUGUGUCUUCCAUGUGUAAAUUAGAUUCAUUUUGAGGAAAUAGCUGGUGUGCAGUGCACAUUCCUAAAUGAAUUCAUCAGUUUACAUUAAGGAUCUACCUUCAAAUCCUGUAAUCUGGGAUGCUCUAAAGUGCAUGUCACAGACUAAAGUUAUAAAAAUAACUUCCAACAAUUUUUAAGAAAUU